UAUAAUAUAGGGCACUUGCAGAGUGAUUUUGAUUCUUUGUUCAACAACUGAAGAUAUCUUCGCCGUCGUUAAUGGUUUUCGAUGUGCAAACUCCUCUCUUCUCUACUAUUUUGAUCUUUUGGAAUUAGGAUUUUCGAAAACCGCUUUUCAGUUUGACUGCCACCAAAUUUUAUCUGACUCUUUAAAAAAACACUUGUAGAUCGUCGAUCAUUGAAGUGUUGUUUUUUCUUGUGAUUCUGUUCUCCUUCUUGUUUUAAUUCCUCUAUUCAUAAUAGCAAGAUUUCUGGGGGUUGCAUUUCAAUUUUUUCAGUUGAUCUCUAUUUUGUUGUUCAUCUAUUGGACUGAAUUCUGGGGGGUUUUCCAUACUCUAUGCCGGGCAGAAAUCCAUCAGUUGAAAAAGAAUUCCUAUCUAUUCUUCUCUUUUGAUUUUUUGUUUUAAUAACGAAAACAAUAUUCUUGACUGUUAAAGUGUCAAUAAAACGAUAAUCUUGUCUAUUGACGUUUCUUCAAGUGUGUCGUCACCAAAUUCGCAUUUUUCUGCCACUGGUGACGGUGACAGUCCAGCCCGCCUAUAUUUUUCUUGGAUAUGUGGGUGUUUAUGUGUAUUGCAGGUAUCACUUUUGUGGCUGUUUAGUGGCAGUAGGGAGGUGCACACGCACAAGAAGUAGAGCAGCAACUAUACGCCGGGUUCCGCAGUAUCGGGAGUAUACCAAGUGGAAAGAUUCAGGUUCUAUGCGCGGGAAUUGCUCUAGGAGGAUUUUACUGGAUCGUUGUUGUUGGUCAAAAGUGUUGUGGACAAUAUGGACUAGACAAAUCAAGCACUGGUGGAUGGGUAAUAUUCGCAGGUAAGUCAUAGCAAGCCUUGAGCUAAGAUACAUGAAAAGUAGGGUGUAAGAGUAACUAAGAGGGUAGUGCCAACUUAUAUGCAACAUUUUCAUUUUUUUUCCAGAAUUUGAUAAGGGCCAUAGUAUCUUGUAGAAAACUUAGAGAAAUGGCUGCUUGACAUUGUGAGUUAUCUGUAAGGUUGGAUCCUUAGAUAAACCCAAUCCCUUUCAUUGAAUUGCCUAUCCGUCCUGUGUUUAUUAGCUUGCUCUGUCAUUCUCUGUUGUGCUCUUUGCAAAUGAUACUUAAGCAACUGCAACUUAAAUUCUCUGGUGAGCAGACUUCCAUCAACUUCUUCUAGUACAGAAUCCCCAGCAGUAAGGCAAAUGGAGGGGUAGUGGUUGACCAUACAAGAUUUCAUAAGGAGUAUACUGAAUGAAAGUGUAGAAUGCAGUAUUGUACAAAACUCAGCUGCAGCUAGAUAGGAAAACCAGUCUGACUAGAAUUAGAACAGAAGCACCUGAGAUAAGUUUCCAAACACCUAUUAACCACCUUUGUUUGACUAUCUGUCUGGGGAUGAUAGGCUAUGGAAGUGUUGAGUGUUACUCCCAUCAUAGAGAAAAGCUUCUUCUAAAUCUUUAUUGUGAAUAUGGGAUCUCUUUCACUUAUUAUAUCCUCAGGCAGACCAUGUAACUUGUAAACUUGUUCCAAGAAGAUUUUAGCAAGACCCCAUGAAGUGGGCAUAUUUAGUUAAACUAUCUACUACCACCCAAAUGACUGUCUUACCUUUUGGAUUUUGGUAGUCGUUCUAUAAAAUCCAUAUUGAUGUUGCUCCAAGCUGCUACUGGUAUCUUGUUGGGUUAUAGUAGUCCUGGAUAGGGUGCAUUGUCAUAUUUAUGCCUCUGGCAUACAUCACAAGAUUUGACAUAAGCUUGUAUAUUCUCCCUCAUCUUCUUCCAAUAAAACAAAGUUGUUAUCCUUCUGUAGGUAUGGUCAAUGACAGAAUGACCCCAACUGAUGAACCAUGCCAUAGUUGCAUAAUUUCCUUCCUCAAUUGAGCAUCAGGACCAACCACUAACCUCCCAUUCUUUCUUAGUUGUUCAUGAGUCAGUCUAUAUCCUUUAUUCUUAGCAUUUCCUUCCCUUAAGGAUUGAAUCAGACUUUUUAGAGUAGGAUCCUUAUCCCAACUUUGCAUAAUCAUAUCUAACAUAUCAGUUCUCACGAAAGAUAAGGUCAUGGUUUCUAGUUCAAGCAAGGGUAACCUAGAAAGAGCAUCAGUUGCCUUGUUCUGUUUGCCCUUUUUGUACUCAAUUAUGAAGUCAUGUUGCAUAAGUUUGGUGAUCCACUUCAAUGAGCCCCGGUGUAAAGCUUUGAUCAAGUAGGAAUUUGAGUACCUUUUGGUCUAUUUUAACAAUAAAGCUUCUACAGUCAGAUACUGAGACCACUUGUUUACAGCUAUCACAAGUGCCAAAAGUUCUUUAUCAUACACAGAUAAUGAUUGAUGUUUUGCGGAUAAUCCUUUGCUUAGGAAGGCAAUGAUAUUUCCUUGUUGCAUUAAAACUGCUCAUAUCCCUACAUUACAAGCAUCUAUUACCAUAAUGUUAGAGAAAAAUCUGGUAGACUCAACACUAGUAUAAUUGUUAGUGUUGUUUUAAGUGUCUAAAAGUCUUCAUUAGCCUUAUCAGACCACAUAAAGUCAUCUUUUUGAGGAGGUUAGUCAGUGGUUUGUUGAUAAUGCCAUAUCCUUUGAUGAAUCUUCUGUAAUACCUUGCUAACCCAAGAAAUCCUCUCAGCAACUUGAUAGAAGUAGGCAAUGGCCAAGACUGUUCUGCUUCUAUCUUCUUAAGGUCAGUGGAAACACCUUGUGCUGAGAUGUAAUGCCUUAAAUGUUGUCACGCCCCAAACAUAAAAAGCAUAACCGGUAUUUAACCGAGUGAACUCGGCUGAGCAAGCCUAUUAGAUUCCUUCUACCGAAACUCACUCAUGAACAGAGAGAGGACAUAUUUUCAUUAGUUAGAUAAUAGGGAGGUCAUGAAUACAAUGCUACAUCAUUUCAUUAGUUACUUUAUCUUAAAAUCUUAAAAUAUACAUAUUUGUUUCAUAGUUAGAAGUGGAAUAAAUAAUUCAAACACAACAAUAUUUCGUCUGGCUUCCCCAGCACCCAUAUACAAUCCACACUAUGUUCACGAAGCCUAUAAUAGAUACAAAAGAGUACAACAAAAGUGCUGGCAAUAAGACACCGAUUAUAUCUCAAGUACAAUACAUAAGGAACAAAAGAUGCAUAACCGCAAAAUGAAAUGGGGCUCACCAACACUGCUAGGAGGAGGAUGUACCGAUAUUACUAAUCAACGCUACCUGUUGUGGACCUGCCUGCAUCCAUUUAAAGAUGUACAACCCCGAUAAAAGGAACAUUAGUACCAUCGAAUAGUACUAGUAUGUAUUAAAAACCACCUCAAUAGAAUGAGCAAUAAUGCAAGUAAAAAUAAUCAUAAUAUCAGUUAAAGCAUUGAACAUUUACCAUACGUCAAACAAGGGAUAAGAUAAGUUUCCAAUUAAAUUUUUAUAUUUUAAGUCGGGGAAGUCUUUAGUACCAAUAUGCCACUAUUCACCAUUUUGAUUUCAAUUCCCAAUACAGUCACCACCAUGUGUACAACAUGGCGUCCGAUCACGAUCUGAUCGGCUAGGCCGUCUCAUAUGAGACAUCAACCAUAAUUACAAUUUCAGUUAUAGUUUUCUAAUAAAGUCACUACUAUGUGUACGACAUGUCGUCCGAUCACGACCCGAUUGGCUAGGCCAUCUCAUAAGAGACAUCAACCACAGUUGCAAUUUAUAUUACAAUUUCCAAUAGAGUCACUACCAUGUGUACGACAUAGCGUCCGAUCACGACCCGAUCGGCUAGGCCAUCUCAUAAGAGACAUCAACCACAGUUGCAAUUUAUAUUACAAUUUCCAAUAGAGUCACUACCAUGUGUACGACAUAGCGUCCGAUCACGACCCGAUCGGCUAGGCCAUCUCAUAAGAGACAUCAACCACGAUUGUAUUAUUUCACUUGGCACGUUGGUCGUAUUCCAUAUUUCACAUUUCAUAUUUCACUUUUAGUAUUUCUCGCUUUGUAUCGCAUAUUUCGUAUUUUGCAUUUCGACAAUCAUCAUAGAUUUCCAAUAACAAAGCAUUUCUUUUCAUAAUAUUUAAACACACAUGUGAGCAACUGGGAGUUUUUAUUACAUUGAGAUUUCUUACAGAAUUGUCAUUAGCUUUCGUUUUAGACACAAUUUCAUGUCAAGGCAUUUAAACAUGCAACCCAUACUUUGAACACAUUCUUCAAAUAAGAGUAUAACAUAACAAGAACAUUUAAAUUGCAUACUGAACAUGGAUAUCUUUUGGCACAACUUAUUCGGAAUGUUCAACUCACAUCGAGCAACUCGGGACUUACAUGGAUAUUGUGGGGUUCAAUUCUAAGA